rnacentral:rRNA from 1 species
CACGUAGGGCGCAAGCGUUGUCCGGAAUUAUUGGGCGUAAAGAGCUCGUAGGCGGUCUGUUGCGUCCGCUGUGAAAACUCGGGGCUUAACCCCGAGCCUGCAGUGGAUACGGGCAGACUAGAGGUAGGUAGGGGAGAAUGGAAUUCCCGGUGUAGCGGUGAAAUGCGCAGAUAUCGGGAGGAACACCGGUGGCGAAGGCGACACGCUGGGCCGUACCUGACACUGAUGCGCGACAGCAUGGGGAGCAAACAGG